rnacentral:RNase_P_RNA from 1 species
AAUUCAGGCCAGCUUAUCGCGUCCGGGAGAUCGGGCGAGGAAAGUCCGGGCAGCACAGAGCACCCUACUUCCUAACGGGAAGGCGGACGGCUGGGAACGGCCGUUCGACAGCCAGUGUCACAGAAAAUAUACCGCCGAAAGGUAAGGGUGAAAUGGUGGAGUAAGAGCCCACCGCCCGGCGGGCGACCGACGGGGCAGGAUAAACCUUAGGGGCUGAAAGACCAAAUAUGCGCUGGACGUGCGGCUGCUCGUCGCCAGCGGCCCGAAAGGGCCAACACCAGCGCGGGUAGGUCGAACGAGGUGUCGGGUGACCGGCAUCCCAGAUAAAUGAUAAGCAUCCGGCCCGUCCGGAGACAGAACCCGGCUUAUCGGUCUGGGUUGAUU